CCCUCCCCUCCCAGCUCACCCUCAGGCUUAGGCUGUAUCAAAAAAUCAAUUGAUUAUGUUGCUAUAUGUUUAAGGAAUAAAAGUGGGGCUUAUAUAUAAAAAAAAAAAACCAAAAACCUUUGAGCAAGCAAGACAAAACCGAAGCUCAUGGCUGAGUGCAGAGCAAAUGUGGGCUUUUUUUUUUUUUUUUUAAUCUUCCCAAGCACUAUUCUCCUGCAGAAGGAAUUGAUUGUUGGAUGUCACUUAAUCAAAGGCAGAGGCUGAUUCCUGGCUAUCCAGCCUCCCGCUGGGCUUGGCGGCUGAGCUCCGCCGGCGCUGACCCCGCUGUCCAUGCGGUGAUCAGUGCCCUCACAGCACACAUCCUGCACACUGCAUGCCAGCAGCUCAGGAGUCGCUCAGCAAUAGCAGGAGAAGGAUGCCUGACUGCGCCAGGGAGGGACAAAAUGCCCCUUAUGUAACGUGACGGCACGCAGCAGGUGGUGCAUCAUCAUGGAAUCAUAGAAUCACAGAACGGCUCGGGUUGGAGGAGACCUUAAGGACCUUAAGUGGGCACAGCACUGCAGGUGGGGCCUUCCAGGGGCAGAGCAGAGGGGCACAACCCCCUCCCUCUCCUCUCCCUGCUGCCACCCCUCCGUUGCUGCAGCUCUUUUGAUGAGCCCAUGACUCAGUUUGUAUUGUCUGUGAUCAGCAUUGCUUUCCAGGCAGGAAGAGAUAGCUGCCAGCCCACCUGCUUGGGUACAACACCCAACCCCACACCCUCCCGAGGACUGGGGGCUGCAAAUGCAUCCACACCGUCCCUCACUUGGCUGUAAAGAACUGUAUCAGCAGAGCAUAAGAGUGGUGAACGAGGCCAUGCAGGCGCAGUGACUCAACCACCCUCUCCAGGCCAUGCAGGGUGGUACCCCCUCUCAGCUCCCCCCAUGCCCUGCAUGUGCCCAGCAGUGAGGGCCACGUGGAGCUGCACACCCACCUGCACUCCCCUCCAGUGUUUGUUGCCUUAACAUUACCACGAUCAGAUUAUCUCACGUUAAUGUGGAUCUAAUGGAUAAAUCCAUAUGAGCUCCAGAGUUGUUCGGUAUUAAUUAAAUGUCGCCAUUAUAACACUUGGAUUGCUGCGCGUUUAUCGCUCGCUGCAAUUAGCGGAUGAAACCUGUGCUGCAGCUGUGCUCAUCUCCCCACACCUAGCACCCCGUGAUGCACAGCACCCACCCAGGGCUCAGCAGCUCCCCCAGCCACCCCACUGCCACCUGUGCACGGCCUCAGCCCCACAGUGGGGCCCAAGCUGCAUCCAAGAGCUUAUAGAAUCAUGACUCAGGCUGGAAAAGACCAUCGAGUCCAACUAUUAUGGGUAGGAUUGUCAGUCCCUGCAGCCCCGGUCUCUGCAGGCAGCCGUCUCCUGCCCAGAACACAAUUUGCUGCAAGGCUGGGAAGUAAAGGCAGCUUUCAAAGGCGAGAGGAUGCUGCCUCGCUCCCCCAAGGUGUUUAAGUCCUGUCUCGUUAUUCAGGUCCGCAGUCCCUCUGCCCACAUGUCAGACGAGAGAGAAGAAUAGAAAUCGCUCCUUAAAGUUCACAACCCAUCACUCCAGCUUUCAGAAAUACAAGCAAAAAUGGCAAAGCAGUAGGGGGAAAAUCCAUUUCUUUCGCGAUGAUCUUUCCUUCGAACAUGUCCUGUUGAUUUGCAGUCAGGGAAAGGCGAGUGUGUUUGUCUGAGAUAGGGGAAUCAGAUCUGUCUAAACUCUUCUUUACUCCAAACUAUCCCCUUCAAAAGAGCUCUUUAAGAAAAGAAAAAAAAAAAUAGAAAAGCCAAGAGAGAGAAAUCUGUUCCAAGACCCUUCUGUUGUGAGUGUGCCCUCUGGGAAAUAGCAGUGGGGGUUUGCCCUUUUCCUGUACUGCUGGCAGAAUUUGGGCACUGUGACCACUGCCUGGAGCCUGCAGUGAGCAGGAGCAGGGCUAUUCCCAGCAGUGGCUCUUGGGGCUCAAUGCAACCACCCCCAAUGGCAACACGGGGCACCUGGUCUCCUUCCAUGACCGGGUGACCCACCUGGUGGGUGAGGGAAAGGCUGCUGAUGUAGCCUACAGCAAAGCUUUUGACACAGUUUCGGUUUCCCAUAGUAUUCUCCUGGAGAAGCUGCAGCUCACAGCUGGGAAAGGUGCACUCAUUGCUGGGCAUAGAACUGGCUGGAGGGCCGGGCCCAGAGAGUGGUGGUGAAUGGAGCUGCACCCACCUGGUGACCGGUCACAGUGGUGUCCCCCAGGGGUUGGUAUUGGGGCCCAUCCUGUUUAAUACCUUUUCUGAUUAUGUGGAUGAGGGCAUUGAGUGCAUCCCCAGUAAGUCUGCAGACACCACGUUGGGGGAAGUGCCGAUCUGCCUGAGGGCAGGCAGGCCCUACAGAGGGACCUGGACAGGCUGAUGGCUGGGCUGAGGCCAAUGGGAUGGAGUGCAACAAGACCGAGUGCCGGGUCCUGCACUUGGGCCACAACAACCCCACACAGCGCUGCAGGCUUGGGGCAGAGCGGCUGGAAGGCUGUGCGGAGGGAAAGGACCUGCGGGUGUCGGUCGGCGCUGGGCUGACCACGAACGCACCGCCAGCCCCGCACCCC
ensembl:lncRNA